UACCUGCAGCUCAAGUAGUGAUCAUUAUUAUUGGGCCUAAAACGUCCGUAGCCGGUUUGGUAAAUAUCUGGGUAAAUCGUGUAGCUUAACUAUACGAAUUCCGGGUAGACUGCCAAACUUGAGACCGGGAGAGGCUAGAGGUACUCCUGGGGUAGAGGUGAAAUUCUGUAAUCCUGGGGGGACCACCAGUGGCGAAGGCGUCUAGCUAGAACGGGUCUGACGGUCAGGGACGAAGCCCUGGGGGCGCGAACCGGAUUAGAUACCCGGGUAGUCCAGGGUGUAACCGCUGCUUGCUUGAUGUUAGUUGGGCUCCGAGCCCAAUUAGUGUCGGAGAGAAGUUGUUAAGCAAGCUGCCUGGGAAGUACGAUCGCAAGAUUGAAACUUAAAGGAAUUGGCGGGGGAGCACAGCAACGGGUGGAGCGUGCGGUUU
rnacentral:rRNA from 1 species